rnacentral:rRNA from 1 species
GGAUUAGUGGCGAACGGGUGAGUAACACGUGAGUAACCUGCCCUUAACUCUGGGAUAAGCCUGGGAAACUGGGUCUAAUACCGGAUAUGACUCCUCAUCGCAUGGUGGGGGGUGGAAAGCUUUUUGUGGUUUUGGAUGGACUCGCGGCCUAUCAGCUUGUUGGUGAGGUAAUGGCUUACCAAGGCGACGACGGGUAGCCGGCCUGAGAGGGUGACCGGCCACACUGGGACUGAGACACGGCCCAGACUCCUACGGGAGGCAGCAGUGGGGAAUAUUGCACAAUGGGCGAAAGCCUGAUGCAGCGACGCCGCGUGAGGGAUGACGGCCUUCGGGUUGUAAACCUCUUUCAGUAGGGAAGAAGCGAAAGUGACGGUACCUGCAGAAGAAGCGCCGGCUAACUACGUGCCAGCAGCCGCGGUAAUACGUAGGGCGCAAGCGUUAUCCGGAAUUAUUGGGCGUAAAGAGCUCGUAGGCGGUUUGUCGCGUCUGCCGUGAAAGUCCGGGGCUCAACUCCGGAUCUGCGGUGGGUACGGGCAGACUAGAGUGAUGUAGGGGAGACUGGAAUUCCUGGUGUAGCGGUGAAAUGCGCAGAUAUCAGGAGGAACACCGAUGGCGAAGGCAGGUCUCUGGGCAUUAACUGACGCUGAGGAGCGAAAGCAUGGGGAGCGAACAGGAUUAGAUACCCUGGUAGUCCAUGCCGUAAACGUUGGGCACUAGGUGUGGGGGACAUUCCACGUUUUCCGCGCCGUAGCUAACGCAUUAAGUGCCCCGCCUGGGGAGUACGGCCGCAAGGCUAAAACUCAAAGGAAUUGACGGGGGCCCGCACAAGCGGCGGAGCAUGCGGAUUAAUUCGAUGCAACGCGAAGAACCUUACCAAGGCUUGACAUGAACCGGUAAUACCUGGAGACAGGUGCCCCGCUUGCGGUCGGUUUACAGGUGGUGCAUGGUUGUCGUCAGCUCGUGUCGUGAGAUGUUGGGUUAAGUCCCGCAACGAGCGCAACCCUCGUUCUAUGUUGCCAGCACGUGAUGGUGGGGACUCAUAGGAGACUGCCGGGGUCAACUCGGAGGAAGGUGGGGACGACGUCAAAUCAUCAUGCCCCUUAUGUCUUGGGCUUCACGCAUGCUACAAUGGCCGGUACAAAGGGUUGCGAUACUGUGAGGUGGAGCUAAUCCCAAAAAGCCGGUCUCAGUUCGGAUUGGGGUCUGCAACUCGACCCCAUGAAGUCGGAGUCGCUAGUAAUCGCAGAUCAG